AUUGAACGCUGGCGGCAUGCCUUACACAUGCAAGUCGAACGGCAGCGCGGGGGCAACCCUGGCGGCGAGUAGCGAACGGGUGAGUAAUAUAUCGGAACGUGCCCUGGAGUGGGGGAUAACGCAGCGAAAGUUGCGCUAAUACCGCAUACGAUCUAUGGAUGAAAGUGGGGGAUUCGCAAGAACCUCAUGCUCCUGGAGCGGCCGAUAUCUGAUUAGCUAGUUGGUAGGGUAAAAGCCUACCAAGGCAUCGAUCAGUAGCUGGUCUGAGAGGACGACCAGCCACACUGGGACUGAGACACGGCCCAGACUCCUACGGGAGGCAGCAGUGGGGAAUUUUGGACAAUGGGGGCAACCCUGAUCCAGCAAUGCCGCGUGAGUGAAGAAGGCCUUCGGGUUGUAAAGCUCUUUUGUCAGGGAAGAAACGUUUUUUCUAAUACAGAUGAACUAAUGA
rnacentral:rRNA from 1 species